GGGUGGUAAAUUUCAUCUAAAGCUAAAUACCGGCUGGAGACCGAUAGCGCACAAGUAGAGUGAUCGAAAGAUGAAAAGCACUUUGGAAAGAGAGUUAAAAAGCACGUGAAAUUGUUGAAAGGGAAGCGCUUGCGACCAGACCUGCCCGUGGGCGAUCAACCRCCGUUCUCGGUGGUGCACUCGUCGGCGAGCAGGCCAGCAUCGGUUUGGGCGGUCGGACAAAGGCCUUGGGAAUGUAGCUCCCCUCGGGGAGUCUUAUAGCCCUCGGUGCAAUGCGGCCAGCCCGGAUCGAGGACCGCGCUUCGGCUAGGAUGCUGGCGUAAUAGUUGCAAGCGACCCGUCUUGAAACACGGACCAAGGAGUCUAACAUCUAUGCGAGUGUUUGGGUGUCAAACCCAUGCGCGCAAUGAAAGUGAACGGAGGUGAGAACCCGUUAGGGUGCAUCAUCGACCGAUUCUUUUUUCUUCGGAUGGAUUUGAGUACGAGCAUAAAUGUUGGGACCCGAAAGAUGGUGAACUAUGCCUGAAUAGGGUGAAGCCAGAGGAAACUCUGGUGGAGGCUCGCAGCGGUUCUGACGUGCAAAUCGAUCGUCAAAUUUGGGUAUAGGGGCGAAAGAC
rnacentral:rRNA from 1 species